rnacentral:misc_RNA from 1 species
GAUGAAGAACGUAGCGAAAUGCGAUAAGUAAUGUGAAUUGCAGAAUUCAGUGAAUCAUCGAAUCUUUGAACGCACAUUGCGCCCGCCAGUAUUCUGGCGGGCAUGCCUGUUCGAGCGUCAUUUCAACCAUCAAGCCCCAGGCCUGUGUUGGGGACCUGCGGCUGCCGCAGGCCCUGAAAACCAGUGGCGGGCUCGCUGUCACACCGGGCGUAGUAGAUUUUAUCUCGCUCAGGGCGUGCUGCGGGUUCCGGCCGUUAAAAAGCCUUUUUUACCCAAGGUUGACCUCGGAUCAGGUAGGAAGACCCGCUGAACUUAAGCAUAUCAAUAAGCGGAGGA